ensembl:lncRNA
CUUACAUUUACUUUCUACUUUCUUUUUUAGGAAAUUUUAAUAUUAGUGUUAUCUAGAUGUUAUUAAAAAAACUUAUUAAAAAGAGUUUCUGAAAGGUUCUUUUGGAUGCAAUGGAAAAAAAACAAACAAAAAAAAAAACAACCCAACAACAACUUUGUGUUCUAGAGUUCUCCAGAGUACCUAUAAGGUACAAGCGUAAUUUAUUUUGUUCGCCUCACUUACUUCAAGCCAAUUUUAUUCUUCUGUUACAUUUCUAUUAUUUGUUUAUUUUGAUUUCUUUUACUCACGACUCCGUUCCUCUUUCUUGUCAUGUCUUGUCCAGGAGAUGUAAAGUGAGAGGUGUUGCUUCUUUGAAAAAAAAAAGGCCAGCACAAGCGAGGCAUUGUGGGCCAGAGGAGAGACAGCCGCUAUCCCCACAUCUCUCUGUCCCUCCCUUCACCGCCUGCCACAGCUGUGCAUGAACAAGAUCAGGGCCAGAGGACAACAUAUCAGUGUGGAGACUGUCGAGGGCUCAUCAGAGGUCCCCCUUGUGCCACCAAAACAGCUCUGACCUUUCGAGUCAUGGACUCCACAAGACGUCUGAAGGUGUGCUGUGGUAUCUGUCACCGAGACAUAAGCAGCAGAUCCUUUAAGUCCUAUAAAUUGCGAGGUGGGUCCUCCAUGGAUCGGACUUGUUUGUCCGGCACAAUCCUACAGACGUUCGAUCGGAUUGAGAUCUGGGGAAUUUACAGACCAAGUCAACACCUUGAACUCUAUGUCAUGUUCCUUCAACCACUCCUGAAGAAUUUUUGUAGCGUUGCACGGCGCAUUAUCCUGCUGAAAGAGGUCACUACCAUUAAAGAAUACCGUUACCAUGAAGAGGUGUACUUGGUCUGCACCAGUGUUUAGCGUGUCCCUCCUCCUUUUCUUGGCCUUGGGAGCACUUGGGAUAUUACUUGUGGUUCUGAAGCAAAUAAUCAGGAAUUAAAAAAUGGAUUCCUCAGGC